CCCAUCACUUAUGUAUUGAGGAGCGAGCCCUUAUUCUAUAAAAGGGACUCCUUCACUUUUAGAGAGCACUCAUGAAAAAUACUUGGGGGACUCUAGCCCAUCACUUAUGUAUUGAGGAGUGAGCCCUUAUUCUAUAAAAGGGAAUCCCUCACUUUCAUUAGAGAGCACCCAUUAUUCAUGUACUGAGGAGUGAACCCUUAUUUUAUAAAAGGGACUCCCUCACCUUCAUUAGAGAGAAACGCCGCCAGCUGAGCAACCGCCUCGCCGCGAGCAUCAACUCUAGCCCAUCAUUUAUGUAUUGAGGAACGAGCCCUUAUUCUAUAAAAGGGACUCCCUCACCUUCAACACCACAAGCCGAGCCAACCAAGGCAAUAUAAGCCACAAGCCGAGCAACCUCGCAACAUGUGACAGUUGAGCAUCAUUUCAGAUUGAGCACCGCCUCAUAUCGAGCAUCAGUUCAAGAUAACAUCUAGUUACUUCGGCCCACACAUGGACUGAAUUUCAAGUCUCCAGCCAAAAGACUCUCUUGACUGAAGACUUGGGGGACUACUGUUUAUACCAUAUUUAGGGCCUCGUAUUUAGAUCUCGUACAAAUACUCAGGGGACUUAAAUGUAAU
rnacentral:lncRNA from 1 species